UUCGUCUCCGCCCGAAGAUACCUUGCUCUCUCCUGCCGAUUCCUCUUCCUUAUUGGAUUUGCUCUCCUUCCGAUUCCUUUUCGUUCUUGGAUUUGGUCUCUCCAACCGAUUCCUCUGGUUUCUGUUCCUUUGCCUCUCCACACACUAUGGUCCUCAUCUCCUUGCACCAACCAUUUGUUAUCUCAUCCUAGAGCGGUUCUGUUGUUUGUAGCCCCUGCUCGGGUCCCAUUUCUCUCCCUCUUUCUUCAACAUGCAAUCCACAGCCUUAUACGGAGUCAACGUCUUGAGCGUCUCUAUCAGAGCAGGAAGAGCCAUAAGGAUGUGGGAGAGCUCUGCAAACACGGUGAGCUUGCAGACGGCGUAGAAAAUGCACAUUUUGGAUUUCUCCAAAGGAUCUAUCUUGGAGAAUUUUUUUGUUUUUUUGAAAUUCGCAGGAAUUACGGAUGAUCAAGGCGAGCCCCGGAAAAAUACUAUUUUCAGGACUUUGUUUAAAAUUUUGUUCGGACUCUUUGGACUUUUCCUAUUUGAAGUUUGUUUAUUUGAGACUUGAUGGGACAGUUGAAUAUUUUUAUUAAUUACGGCAAUGCUGGCUUUGCCUUUGAUGUUGAAUUUUUCAUAAGGAAACCUAAUGAAAAUCAUAUUGUUUGAAAAUUUUGAGUUUUGUUGCCUUGCUAUUUAAUUAAUUGUCCAAAAUUUUCACAAUGAUUGGGUUAAAUAUGGUCCAAAAAUUAGAUGUGAUUCAUCCUAUGAAGAUGAGUACUGUAGGCACAAAAAUACUAGCCCCGGUGAUUACCAGACAAAGGAACAGUGUGCUGAUGUUUUUCAGUACAUACUCCCCUAUGCAAAGGCUUCUUCUUUAAAGGAUAGAAGUGAUCAAUCCCAUUGAACAUGGGAGGAAGGAAGUGUAUCGAAUUGCCAAAAGAAACUGAACAUUAUAUGGA